rnacentral:rRNA from 1 species
UCGAGAAUCUUCGGCAAUGGGCGCAAGCCUGACCGAGCGACGCCGCGUGCGGGAUGAAGGCCUUCGGGUUGUAAACCGCUGUCAGAGGGAAGGAAAUUUUGACCGAUCCUCAGAGGAAGUACGGGCUAAGUUCGUGCCAGCAGCCGCGGUAACACGAACCGUACGAACGUUAUUCGGAAUUACUGGGCUUAAAGAGUGCGUAGGCGGCGCGGAAAGUUGGGUGUGAAAUCCCUCGGCUCAACCGAGGAACUGCGCUCAAAACUGCCGUGCUCGAGGGAGACAGAGGUGAGCGGAACUGAUGGUGGAGCGGUGAAAUGCGUUGAUAUCAUCAGGAACACCAGUGGCGAAGGCGGCUCACUGGGUCUCUUCUGACGCUGAGGCACGAAAGCGUAGGGGAGCGAACGGGAUUAGACUACCCCGGUAGUCCUAGCUAGUAAACGAUGAGCACGUAGGUCGGACGGGGACCCCCACACUCCUCUCCGGCCGUAGCGAAAGUAUUAAGUGCUCC